UGGGGAACAUGGGGGAUAUAUUGGGAAAUGGGAUGAGAGACAUGGGGGUUGUGGGGUAUGGGGGACAUGAAAUGGGGGACACAGAGUGGGAACUUAGAUGAUGUUGGAUGGGGGGCACAGAAUUGGGGACAAGAGAGACAUGGGGGACAUCAUCCUCAGGUGUUCAAAGACAUUAUGAUAAGCAGACACAAUGACAAAGCAAUUUUGACGCAUUUUUCUUAUUAUCAGGUCCUUACACCUGGUCAAUGCCCAAAUCCUGGGACAGGGAUUGCAGUUGCUUGGCUUUACUACCAUCCAGUUCUACAUUGGAGCAGUGAUACCCCAGCAGAGAACAGCACAGUCACCAGGGGGUCUAUCAACUGGCAGCUGAAAUCUUUUCAUGCAUCUCACAGCUCACCUGGGGACAGGGAUCAGCAACAACUGCUCCCAGCAGGGGCUGUUCCCCUGGUUCAGGAGUGCCCACAACGCCUGUUGCUGUGCUUUUGUCCUCCUCCCCCUGAGUGUUCACAUGUUGAUUGUGACAUCACUUCUGCUCCAGGAGCCUGACUGGGAAGCAAUUUGCCUCAUAACUUGAGGACAAGAUGUUAAUCACAGAACUGCUCAUCCCAGCAGAGACAAGCCAGGGACAAAGGAAAGGGGAGAGCCAAGCCCAGGGGACAGGGCUGCAGUGGUGAUGGCUGUGAGGUCACCUCCACUGCAGCAGUCUGGCUGGCCCUCAGCAGACAUUCUGACCAGGAAGUAUUGUGAGGUCACCCAGCACAUCAGAGAAGCCACACAACAGAAAUUCCAUCCUUGGGGAGGUGAAGGAGUGAGGCAGGAGGGAGAGGCCCCUCCUAGGCUCUGAUUCUGGGGGCACCUCUCUCACACAACCCAACCAGUGCUGGCAUACAGGGAGCCCGGCUGGACUUAUAGCCACCCUGCUCUGCAUCAGUCUUGCUGCUGGGGCAAACUCCUUCCUCAUCUCCAGGCUGAACACCUCCUGUUUCACCCAACACUCCUUGUAUUUAAUCUUUCUCACAUGCUCUAGCAAAGCUUUCACUUCCUAAAUACAACAAAGUCACCAUAUCUCAAUUUCUCCUUUGCAAAGUGUCCUUGCUGUCACUUCCUGGCAGUGGCUUCAUGGUCCCUGUCAGACCCAGCCCUGUCCCUGCAUUGCCCCAGCUCUGCUGCCCCACAGCUGCUGGAUCAGGAACAGCAGAGCCAUGGGUGAGGGAAAUGCACAGAGACUCCUCCUGGGAGGGACCUCAGGAGGUUUCCAGGCCAACACAAAGCACAGUCAGUGGAGAAAAGGACACAGGGAUGGGCUGGUUUUGUGCUUUGCCAUGGCAGAAUGAGAUGCAGAGCUGCAGAGACACCCAGACCAUGUGGAUCCCUGCAGGAGCUGAUCUCACACAGUGGCUCCCAUGCCUUUGCUGAUCGCUGGUUGCUCUGGUUUGAUGUUCCCUGGUGGUUACACCCAACCCCACACACACCAGUCUCACCAGUGCCUGGGCCCCCAAAGGACACAAGACCUGAUGAUUUAUGGUCCCCACUCCAGUAUCUGGCACUUGGACAUCCCUCUGUAUCCAGUACAGAGAGAGCUCCCUUGUCCCAGAAAGUUCUUGGCAAUGGAGGGUUUAGGAAAAAGCCACAGGCUGCAGGGAAUCAGCUGUUGGGCUCUGGAAAAGCAGUGCCCUGACUAGCCAACAGUGUUGAUAGGAAAAUUAAACCAGAAACAUCAGAGGUUUAUGUCCAAAAAGGAGGCAGAGGGGUCCUUUUACUUUAUUUGAGUAAAGGGAGAGGCCAUAUGGCAUUCCCCUAGGGUCUCUCCAAUUUUUGGAGGACACAGCCUCCUUUUUAUCCUAAUUUCCUGGUGGCAUUUCUCUUUUCUCUUUCCCCAUUGGCUGAAGUACUUGAGAGGUACAGACUUCCUGGUAUGCCUGAUACCGAAGAUUUCCCUCUAAUAUAUAACCCACCCUUUUAAUUUUUAAUUCUUAUGGAAUUUAGGGGUUUUCCCCAUUGUUUCUUUCAUCUUUCAAUAUCCAAUUUCAUUUAUCAGCAAACCUACAGUUUAUUUGUAAAAGCAAGUAUCUUUUUCCAUUUAUGAAUCAGUGGAAUCCUUCCCAUUGUUUCUUUUAUCUCUCACUGUUAAGUUUUACCUACCAGCAGACCCACCGCUUGUUUGUAAAGACAAAUCUGUCAUUCCUCUCAGUGCAAACCCUGUUCAAACGUUAUCUCCUCUCAUCCUUAUUUCUCUCUGUUUUCUCAUGCCUUUUCCUCAAUAAAUGGCCUUGAUCCUCCAUCCUUUCACUUCCUGGACUCCUUUCUUAGACAUCCUAUAGGAAAUCUUGCACAUUCCCCAAAUGCCCUUUGUGGAUUUCCAUCAUGAAUCUCAGACCUCGAUGCAGAACUCCCCAUGCUCAUCUGGCAAGGUCAUGCUGGAAAGCUCUGUUGAGCCCCUUGGUGAGUCUUAAAUACAGA